AGUGUGAUGAUGUGUCAUU
rnacentral:snRNA from 1 species